UAUCUAAAUAUGGUUUAAUUUCGCCAUUGUACAUUAUAAAUAUUAGAAUAUAAAUUGGUAAUGCAAUCGUUACUAACAAAUUACUUUGGCAAUAGAAUGUUCGAAGAGUUCCCCGACUUGGCUCCAAACCGCACUAAAAUUAAUAGAAUUAAUUGAUGAGAUAAUGUAACAAAUGGACCAACGCUCAGUGUUCAUGAGAGCAACCCGAAUCUCGGUCGUGGCAACUUCUAAUAUUCCAAGGAUAUUAAAAAAAAACAUUAAUUCAUAAAAUAAUUCAACUGAUUUAAUUUACGAUUGUAAAAUAAUGAUUGUGAAGUGAAAUGCGGUCGUUUUAUCUCUGCAGGUUAAACAGAGUUGAGGCUCAUUUACUACGUAUUUUGUUUGUAAUAAAACUAAUUAUUUUAUUAAUGUAAUUUCUAUAAGGCAUAGCAACAUCUAAGAUUAAUAUUUUUGAAAUCAUUCGUAAGGAAGAAGCAUUUAUAAUGAUUAUAAUUAUAGAAGUUAAUUGUAAGAUCGUGUCAAUGGUCAAUGGUAUUUGUUACAUCGAUCUAUGUUAAGGAAUAGAAAAUAGAAUUUAAAAUAAAAAGUUUAUUUUA